UACGGAGGGAGCUAGCGUUAUUCGGAAUUACUGGGCGUAAAGCGCACGUAGGCGGCUUUGUAAGUUAGAGGUGAAAGCCUGGAGCUCAACUCCAGAAUUGCCUUUAAGACUGCAUCGCUUGAAUCCAGGAGAGGUGAGUGGAAUUCCGAGUGUAGAGGUGAAAUUCGAUAGAUAUUGGAAGAACACCAGUGGCGGAAGGCGGCUCACUGGACU
rnacentral:rRNA from 1 species